GCGGCAGGCCUAACACAUGCAAGUCGAACGGUAACAGGAAACAGCUUGCUGUUUCGCUGACGAGUGGCGGACGGGUGAGUAAUGUCUGGGAAACUGCCUGAUGGAGGGGGAUAACUACUGGAAACGGUAGCUAAUACCGCAUAACGUCGCAAGACCAAGGAGGGGGACCCUCGGGCCUCUUGCCAUCGGAUGUGCCCAGAUGGGAUUAGCUUGUUGGUGGGGUAACGGCUCACCAAGGCGACGAUCCCUAGCUGGUCUGAGAGGAUGACCAGCCACACUGGAACUGAGACACGGUCCAGACUCCUACGGGAGGCAGCAGUGGGGAAUAUUGCACAAUGGGCGCAAGCCUGAUGCAGCCAUGCCGCGUGUAUGAAGAAGGCCUUCGGGUUGUAAAGUACUUUCAGCGGGGAGGAAGGGAGUAAAGUUAAUACCUUUGCUCAUUGACGUUACCCGCAGAAGAAGCACCGGCUAACUCCGUGCCAGCAGCCGCGGUAAUACGGAGGGUGCAAGCGUUAAUCGGAAUUACUGGGCGUAAAGCGCACGCAGGCGGUUUGUUAAGUCAGAUGUGAAAUCCCCGGGCUCAACCUGGGAACUGCAUCUGAUACUGGCAAGCUUGAGUCUCGUAGAGGGGGGUAGAAUUCCAGGUGUACCGGUGAAAAUGCGUAGAGAUCUGGAGGAAUACCGGAGGCGAAGGCGGCCCCCUGGACGAAGACUGACGCUCAGGUGCGAAAGCGUGGGGAGCAAACAGGAUUAGAUACCCUGGUAGUCCACGCAGUAAACGAUGUCGACUUGGAGGUUGUGCCCUUGAGGCGUGGCUUCCGGAGCUAACGCGUUAAGUCGACCGCCUGGGGAGUACGGCCGCAAGGUUAAAACUCAAAUGAAUUGACGGGGGCCCGCACAAGCGGUGGAGCAUGUGGUUUAAUUCGAUGCAACGCGAAGAACCUUACCUGGUCUUGACAUCCACGGAAGUUUUCAGAGAUGAGAAUGUGCCUUCGGGAACCGUGAGACAGGUGCUGCAUGGCUGUCGUCAGCUCGUGUUGUGAAAUGUUGGGUUAAGUCCCGCAACGAGCGCAACCCUUAUCCUUUGUUGCCAGCGGUCCGGCCGGGAACUCAAAGGAGACUGCCAGUGAUAAACUGGAGGAAGGUGGGGAUGACGUCAAGUCAUCAUGGCCCUUACGACCAGGGCUACACACGUGCUACAAUGGCGCAUACAAAGAGAAGCGACCUCGCGAGAGCAAGCGGACCUCAUAAAGUGCGUCGUAGUCCGGAUUGGAGUCUGCAACUCGACUCCAUGAAGUCGGAAUCGCUAGUAAUCGUGGAUCAGAAUGCCACGGUAAAUACGUUCCCGGGCCUUGUACACACCGCCCGUCACACCAUGGGAGUGGGUUGCAAAAGAAGUAGGUAGCUUAACCUUCGGGAGGGCGCUUACCACUUUGUGAUUCAUGACUGGG
rnacentral:rRNA from 1 species